GCUUAUAAAAAAGAAUAAAAAGUAAUAUCUGCUCAAUGUAAUAUAAAUAGCUGCAGGAGACUGUACUAAGGUAGCAUAAUCAUUAGACUUUUAAUUAAAGUCUUGUAUGAAAGAUUUAAUGAAAGAUUAUUAUUUUAUUUAUUAUUAUUUAACUUAGAUAUUUAGUAAAAAUACUAAAAUAAAAUUUAGGGACAAGAAGACCCUAUAAAGCUUUAGAAAAAUUCUCAUUAUUAGAGUUCAAUUUCUUAUAUUGGGGUAAUAAAAUAAAAAUAAAUAACUUAUUAAUAGAUCCAGAAUUUCUGAUUAUUUGAAAAAGUUACUUUAGGGAUAACAGCAUUAUAAUUAAAUUUAAGCUCAAAUUAAAUUUUUCGUUUAUGACCUCGAUGUUGGAUUAAUAUUACUAUUAAGGAGCAAAGUCCUAAUUAGUUAGUCU
rnacentral:rRNA from 1 species